UGUGCCAGCCGCCGCGGUAAUACGUAGGUGGCAAGCGUUAUCCGGAAUUAUUGGGCGUAAAGCGCGCGUAGGCGGUUUUUUAAGUCUGAUGUGAAAGCCCACGGCUCAACCGUGGAGGGUCAUUGGAAACUGGAAAACUUGAGUGCAGAAGAGGAAAGUGGAAUUCCAUGUGUAGCGGUGAAAUGCGCAGAGAUAUGGAGGAACACCAGUGGCGAAGGCGGCUUUCUGGUCUGCAACUGACGCUGAUGUGCGAAAGCGUGGGGAUCAAACAGGAUUAGAUACCCUGGUAGUCCACGCCGUAAACGAUGAGUGCUAAGUGUUAGGGGGUUUCCGCCCCUUAGUGCUGCAGCUAACGCAUUAAGCACUCCGCCUGGGGAGUACGGUCGCAAGACUGAAACUCAAAGGAAUUGACGGGGACCCGCACAAGCGGUGGAGCAUGUGGU
rnacentral:rRNA from 1 species